UACGGAGGAUCCGAGCGUUAUCCGGAUUUAUUGGGUUUAAAGGGAGCGUAGGUGGAUUGUUAAGUCAGUUGUGAAAGUUUGCGGCUCAACCGUAAAAUUGCAGUUGAAACUGGCAGUCUUGAGUACAGUAGAGGUGGGCAGAAUUCGUGGUGUAGCGGUGAAAUGCUUAGAUAUCACGAAGAACUCCGAUUGCGAAGGCAGCUCACUGGACUGCAACUGACACUGAGGCUCGAAAGUGUGGGUAUCAAACAGG
rnacentral:rRNA from 1 species